rnacentral:rRNA from 1 species
UACGUAGGGGGCAAGCGUUGUCCGGAAUCAUUGGGCGUAAAGAGCUCGUAGGCGGCUCAGUAAGUCGGGUGUGAAACCUCCAGGCUCAACCUGGAGACGCCACCCGAUACUGCUGUGGCUAGAGUCCAGUAGGGGAGUGUGGAAUUCCCGGUGUAGCGGUGAAAUGCGUAGAUAUCUGGAGGAACACCGGUGGCGAAGGCGGCAUCCUGGACCGGUAUUGACGCUGAGGCGCGAAAGCCAGGGGAGCAAACGGG